UAUUCUGACAUGGGAAAAAAGAUGUUCAAGGUGAGAAAGAGGGAAAGGAGAGAACACACAGGAACACGCAGUGUACCAAGCAGAAGAAACGCAACCACUUCAGUUCCUACAGAACUUGAGGAACAUGGCAUUCAUUUCUCCUCUUAAAUUGGGAAUUUGGUCCCAGGCUGAUCUGGAGCUCAGUGUGUGGUCUGGACUGGAGUGAGAAUGGAGAUCCCACUGCCUCAGUACCCAAACUGAGAAGAGCUGGGUACUGCAGCAUGCACCUGCAAACCUGGUACUGAAGAGGCUGAGGAAGGAUAAUGAGAUAAACUGGGCCGCACAGGAGAUCCUGUCCGACAAAAGACAA